UACAGAGGUCCCAAGCGUUGUUCGGAUUCACUGGGCGUAAAGGGUGCGUAGGUGGUGGGGUAAGUCGGAUGUGAAAUCUCCGAGCUCAACUCGGAAAUGGCAUUGGAAACUACCCUGCUAGAGGGUCGGAGGGGGACUGGAAUGCUUGGUGUAGCAGUGAAAUGCGUAGAUAUCAAGCGGAACACCAGUGGCGAAGGCGAGUCCCUGGACGACUCCUGACACUGAGGCACGAAAGCUAGGGGAGCAAACAGG
rnacentral:rRNA from 1 species